rnacentral:rRNA from 1 species
UACAGAGGGUGCAAGCGUUGUUCGGAAUCAUUGGGCGUAAAGGGCAGGUAGGUGGUUUAGAAAGUCUACUGUGAAAUCCCCGGGCUUAACCUGGGAACUGCGGUGGAAACUACUUAAACUAGAGUGCUAGAGGGGUUCGUGGAAUACUCGGUGUAGCGGUGAAAUGCGUAGAUAUCGAGUGGAAUAUCAGAGGCGAAGGCGACGAACUGGAUAGUAACUGACACUCAACUGCGAAAGCGUGGGGAGCAAACAGG